AAGAGAAAGUACAAAAGGGCGUACGGUGGAUGCCUAGGCUCUUACAGGCGAUGAAGGACGUGAUAAGCUGCGAUAAGCUGUGGGAA
rnacentral:rRNA from 1 species